rnacentral:rRNA from 1 species
CCUACGGGUGGCAGCAGUGGGGGAUAUUGCACAAUGGGGGAAACCCUGAUGCAGCGACGCCGCGUGGGUGAAGAAGUAUUUCGGUAUUUAAAGCCCUAUCAGCAGGGAAGAAAGAAGACGGUACCUGACUAAGAAGCCCCGGCUAACUACUUGCCAGCAGCCGCGGUAAUACGUAGGGGGCGAGCGUUAUCCGGAUUCACUGGGUGUAAAGGGAGCGUAGACGGCCGUGCAAGCCAGGAGUGAAAGCCCGGGGCCCAACCCCGGGACUGCUCUUGGAACUGUGCGGCUGGAGUGAGGGAGGGGCAGGCGGAAUGCCUGGUGUAGCGGUGAAAUGCGUAGAUAUCAGGAGGAACACCGGCGGCGAAGGCGGCCUGCUGGACCGCGACUGACGUUGAGGCUCGAAAGCGUGGGGAGCGAACAGGAUUAGAUACCCCUGUAGUC